UUUCGGACUAACCCUUCAUGGCGGGCUCCCUGCAUUUCGGUGCAGCCAACCGUCAUGGGGUAGUCUUUUCACUAUUCCUCCCGUCAAAUGUCAAUACAUUUCGUUGGGUUGGAAUGUCGGCUAUCGGUUGCCUGCAUUGCUCUACCAGUGGUGGUAGCAUUGUUGAUUCGUAUCGGAUAUUUUGGCUGCCCUGCUGAUAUUGUCUUGUCGGCAGGGAGGCCGAGGCGUUGGCUGAAGUCCUUAUGUCGUCAUGUGUGAAUAUUCACCUUGGCAUUGCAUUGGGAUGUUUCGCCAGGUCUCACGGAUGUCGGUGCCCAUUGUGAGUAGCUCUGUUGGUCCCUUGGUCCGCAGGCUUGUAGAGGCCACCACAUAUGCAGAACAUUGCUCUCUUGCUCGUUCGAAGCGCUGUUUCAUUAUGGCGUUUUGGAUUGAUGCGUGUAGGACAUUGGUCAUGUGUGUGUGGAACGGCUCUCUUUUUCGGAUGACCCUUGAUUGUCGGUUUGCAUUGCUGCGGGUGCCUCUCGCUCGGCUGUCCCUUCUGGCGAUGUUGCUAGGGGGGCCUGCUGCUCGGGUUCGCGCUUGCGGUAAUGUGUGCCGGCUUUCCUUUAAGAUGUGC
rnacentral:misc_RNA from 1 species